rnacentral:rRNA from 1 species
CGUACACUCCUGCGGGAGGCAGCAGUGGGGAAUAUUGGACAAUGGGCGCAAGCCUGAUCCAGCCAUGCCGCGUGAGUGAUGAAGGCCCUAGGGUUGUAAAGCUCUUUCACCGGUGAAGAUAAUGACGGUAACCGGAGAAGAAGCCCCGGCUAACUUCGUGCCAGCAGCCGCGGUAAUACGAAGGGGGCUAGCGUUGUUCGGAUUUACUGGGCGUAAAGCGCACGUAGGCGGACUAUUAAGUCAGGGGUGAAAUCCCGGGGCUCAACCCCGGAACUGCCUUUGAUACUGGUAGUCUUGAGUUCGAGAGAGGUGAGUGGAAUUCCGAGUGUAGAGGUGAAAUUCGUAGAUAUUCGGAGGAACACCAGUGGCGAAGGCGGCUCACUGGCUCGAUACUGACGCUGAGGUGCGAAAGCGUGGGGAGCAAACAGGAUUAGAAACCCGAGUAGUCCCAUG